CUUGACAGUACUUUUCAGCGCGUGCGUAGAGACGGACAGUGGGGACAGUGACACAAAAAAAUUGAAAAAAAACGAUUUUGCGAUUUAUAAAUCAGGCGAUGAGUUAUCAGAAUUAUCUCGCGUAACAUUUAAUUUAAAUCUUUGGUUUGAAUGACAGAAAGUCAUAGAAGACCAAUCGACAAUGAAACAAAGAUCGAAUACGAAGGCAUUUUCUGCAUUGGAAACCAAUCCAUUGGCAAAUACAUUCCUCGCAAUAAAUGAACGGCCUGUGGAUGAUAUUUCACUAGAUUUUUUCUACAAACCGCAUACGGUAACAUUACUGGCAAUAUCCAUUUUUGCUGUAAUGUACUGGGCUUUUUCAAGAAGUGAAUCCAAUGGCGAAGAAAACAUUUGGGCCGGAAUACUGAGCGUGAUAUUUUUCUUUCUAAUCAUUUCGGUGUUGGCCUUUCCAAAUGGUCCAUUUACGCGGCCACAUCCAGCUGUAUGGCGAAUACUAUUCGGAGUAUCUGUUUUAUACAUGCUGUUCCUGCAAUUUCUUAUGUUCCAAAAUCACAAAAGUAUCAUGAACAUCAUGUACUGGUUCGAUCCAAAGCUGAAACAUUUUCAUAUCAACAUGGACAAGGAAUAUGGGGUCAAUUGCUCCGACAUAAACUUUGAUCGUGUUUGGUCUCACGUUGAUGUAUUUGCUGUUGGACAUUACUUGGGAUGGAUGUUCAAGGCAAUUUUGAUCAGACACAUGGGCAUUCUGUGGGCAAUAUCAAUAAUGUGGGAAAUAACCGAAAUCGCUUUCGCACAUCUGUUGCCGAAUUUUGUUGAAUGCUGGUGGGAUGCUCUAAUUUUGGAUGUUGUGUUGUGCAACGGCUUUGGCAUUUGGUGUGGUCUUAAAAUUUGCAAAAUUCUCGAAAUGCGAGAGUACAAAUGGGCUAGCAUAAGAGACAUAUCGACGACAAGCGGUAAAAUCAAACGAGCUGUCUUACAAUUCACACCGGGCAGCUUUGCGCAUGUGCGAUGGUUGGAUCCGAAAUCAACGUACAUGAGAUUUUUGGCUGUGUGUCAACUGGUGAUCUUUUGGCAGGUGACCGAGCUCAAUACAUUCUUUUUGAAGCAUAUUUUCGAAAUGCCUCCGUCCCAUCCCAUUGUGAUCGUUCGGCUAGUCUUCAUGGGACUGUUUGUGGCGCCGUCGGUUCGUCAAUACUACAUCUAUAUCACGGACACACGAUGCAAACGUGUCGGUACGCAAUGUUGGGUGUACGGAGCGAUUAUGGUAACGGAGGCCAUGCUGUGCAUUAAAAAUGGAAAGGAAUUGUUUGAACGAACGCAAGCGGUUAACAUUAUCGUGUGGUUGCUUAUCCAAUUAGGUGUUUCAAUUGUGUUCGUGUAUGGGUGCAUGGUGUGGCAGAAAUAUUUCACGAACGAGUCAGAGUCCAGAGAGAGUUCGCCACUCAAAAAUUACAAUAAAUUCGAUCAAAAUGAUUCAGCAAUACUACGGGGCGAUUCGAAAGGAAAGUCACCGAAAAAAUCUCCUGCAAAAUUACGAGUCAAGGCUGACUAAGGAAAAAGGGGACAUUUAGCCAAUUAACGGACAGCAUGAUAGACGACAAAAAAAGAUUUCGUUAGAUAUUAAUUUACUGUUUUUGAAAGGAGUUGUUUCGUCUAUUUUGGAUACCAAAAAUUAGUUUAAGCUAAUGAUUAAUUAAUCUUAAGUUAUUUUCGAGUAAAAAGAAUGCACUCUGUGAGUUUCUAAUUAAUAAAAAAACAAAAAAUUGUAAACAAAUUCUUCUUCCUAUUCUUCUAUUGUAUAAUGAGCUAUUAUAUGAACCUACUAUUUGAACUAUGAACUAUGUAUGUAUGAACGAGUGGAAGCAACAAUUUCAGAUAAUAAAUAGUCGUGCGAUUGCGGCAAUAAAA